GGUCCAGACUCCUACGGGAGGCAGCAGUGAGGAAUAUUGGUCAAUGGACGAGAGUCUGAACCAGCCAAGUAGCGUGAAGGAUGACUGCCCUAUGGGUUGUAAACUUCUUUUAUAUGGGAAUAAAAUGUUCCACGUGUGGGAUUUUGUAUGUACCAUAUGAAUAAGGAUCGGCUAACUCCGUGCCAGCAGCCGCGGUAAUACGGAGGAUCCGAGCGUUAUCCGGAUUUAUUGGGUUUAAAGGGUGCGCAGGCGGAUUUUUAAGUCAGCGGUCAAAUCGUGGGGCUCAACCCCAUCCAGCCGUUGAAACUGGGGAUCUAGAGUGUGCGAGAGGUAUGCGGAAUGCGUGGUGUAGCGGUGAAAUGCUUAGAUAUCACGAAGAACUCCGAUUGCGAAGGCAGUUCACUGGACUGCAACUGACACUGAGGCUCGAAAGUGUGGGUAUCAAACAGGAUUAGAUACCCUAGUA
rnacentral:rRNA from 1 species